rnacentral:rRNA from 1 species
UGGGGAAUAUUGCACAAUGGGCGCAAGCCUGAUGCAGCCAUGCCGCGUGUAUGAAGAAGGCCUUCGGGUUGUAAAGUACUUUCAGUCGGGAGGAAGGUGUCAAGGUUAAUAACCUUGGCAAUUGACGUUACCGACAGAAGAAGCACCGGCUAACUCCGUGCCAGCAGCCGCGGUAAUACGGAGGGUGCAAGCGUUAAUCGGAAUUACUGGGCGUAAAGCGCACGCAGGCGGUUGAUUGAGUCAGAUGUGAAAUCCCCGGGCUUAACCCGGGAAUUGCAUCUGAUACUGGUCAGCUAGAGUCUUGUAGAGGGGGGUAGAAUUCCAGGUGUAGCGGUGAAAUGCGUAGAGAUCUGGAGGAAUACCGGUGGCGGAGGCGGCCCCCUGGACGAAGACUGACGCUCAGGUGCGAAAGCGUGGGGAGCAAACAGG